rnacentral:rRNA from 1 species
UUCGCCCUUUUCCGGUUGAUCCGCCGGACCUGACUGCUAUCGGAUUGAUACUAAGCCAUGCGAGUCAUUGUAGUAAUACAAGGCAGACGGCUCAGUAACGCGUAGUCAACCUAACCUAUGGACGGGAAUAACCUCGGGAAACUGAGUAUAAUGCCCGAUAGAACAUUAUGCCUGGAAUGGUUUAUGUUCCAAAUGAUUUAUCGCCGUAGGAUGGGACUGCGGCCUAUCAGUUUGUUGGUGAGGUAAUGGCCCACCAAGACUAUUACAGGUACGGGCUCUGAGAGGAGUAGCCCGGAGAUGGGUACUGAGACACGGACCCAGGCCCUAUGGGGCGCAGCAGGCGAGAAAACUUUGCAAUGUGCGAAAGC